GUUUCACAAAGCAGUUUCACAAGAGGACACCACCCCAUGCAGAGAGGGAUGGAGAAGUGGGAAGUGAACUCUCUGAAAGAUGAGGAGGGGGGAAGGAGGAUUGCAAAAUCCAGCGAUGCUAGAGUGUUGCAAUCACAAACGUGUUGGGAAUCACUUUUACAGUCCCCUGUGACCCAGGAGGAAUUGCGCACCCUGGCAGGCCAGAGUCUACGCUAAAAGAAAUAGAUGCUCCUGAUGAAACCUUUGGAAGUUCAGAUAAUCAAAAUGAAAAAUCACCUAUCAUCACAUUGCAGAGGUUUUGCCAACCAUUUUAAUUCUCCCUCCCUUUCCUAUAUUGGAAGCUUUAGUUUUAUGCUUUUAAAUUUAUCCAUUGUAGUUUUCAUGAAAACAAGACCAGGCUAGAACACUGUUUUAUAAUCUUGUUUUUCUAUAUCAUACAUCAUGGAUACAAUUUUUUUCCUACCUGAUCACUUUAAUAGCUAGUCAUAUAGGAUUCUAAACAUCCAACAAUUCUAAACAUCCAACAAUCAAUCCUGCAUUGUUGGACCUUUGGGUUGUUUCUAAGUGAUUUUUCUAUUCUAGACAAGGAUGCAAGAAGCUCCAUGGCUAAAUUUUUGCGCACAUCUGAGAUUAUUUAGCUCGAGGUGGGCCGAGGGCAUGCUGCUUUGUAAGGCUUUUGAAACAUCACUGUGCAGUCAGUACCGUGUCACAGAGGACAGCGUGCAGCCCCUGUUACAAAUGGGAAGGGAGUAUUGGCUCAACCCAUUUCUAGCUCUGCAAUCUUGAGGAAAUGACUUACCUUCUCUGCACAUCAACUUCCUCAAAUGAUAAUAGCUUAUGGAAUGAGACUAUUGUGGGGACUGGAUGAAAAAAAAAUGUGUCAAGUGGCACAGCACAUGAUGAACCCUCAGUAAAUGGUGCUUGUUUCUGACUCA